CUGCCCAACUUAUAUUAAUGAAAGCCUUCUUCUCCCUAGGCUGCCUCACGAUAAAACCUAAACCUCAUCAAGAACAAACCUGAUAUGUGCAGAGGCAUUCGCUACCCAAAAGUAAAGUCAUACCAUCUUGGAUCAAUGGGAAGUCUCUACAGUUUCCACACAUUCAAGUGAGUGUUGCGUCAAAAUUUUUCGAUUCAAUUUCUCCAAAUGAUUCCACCAGCUUUGAAUCUUUCUACUUAAGAUACCCCAAACGCAUCAGAUUAGAUCUCCUUGAGAGUUAGAGAGAGAGAUCUAUGGGAGGCCCUUCACUACUGUCAGAUCGGAUAAUCCUGAUGAAGAGAUUACUAUAUUAAUUGCUGAUCUGACACAACCGGAUGAAGCAUGGAGUCAAAUAUUAUGUAUAUGAGAUUGUUUUGGAACUGGAGCAUGACUAUGAGAAGAAGAAUGAAAAGCCACUUCAAUCUGCAUAUUUUAUAAUUUUAAUGAGAACCAAAACAGUCACAAUGAAUCUAAAAGGAGAUAUGCAAAACUUGAAAUCUUUGACUUUCAAUUCUUUUAUUCGUUUGUAUAUUGUAUGACUAAACAUGUACCAAACAUUGACUUUGUUAUCAUGCAAUUUUUCAUAAUUGUUGGCUCAUUCUAAGAAUCACAAUGUGUAUCACUAUUGAACUCUUUUCUUUGUAAAAAAGAAAAGAAAAGGGGUAUUUGGUAUCAAAUGCCGACUGGUAAAAAUAAGCUGAGUGGAUGUGUUUUAUUUGAUUAAAUGAUGGAGAUUGCUGACAAAUUGUUUCUUAUGAUUUAGUGUGGGUUUGGAUUUAGCAUUUCCGCUGAAUCCUGCGUCACGUUUUCCUUUUCUUUUCUUUUUUUGCUUUCACGCGUUUAAGGGAGCCAAAUUUACUAUUCAUAAGACAAAUUUUACUGUUCACGCACUGUUCUGUCACUGUUCACGCACUGUUCAUCA